rnacentral:rRNA from 1 species
GACGAACGCUGGCGGCGUGCUUAACACAUGCAAGUCGAACGGAAAGGCCCUGCUUUUGUGGGGUGCUCGAGUGGCGAACGGGUGAGUAACACGUGAGUAACCUGCCCUUGACUUUGGGAUAACUUCAGGAAACUGGGGCUAAUACCGGAUAGGAGCUCCUGCUGCAUGGUGGGGGUUGGAAAGUUUCGGCGGUUGGGGAUGGACUCGCGGCUUAUCAGCUUGUUGGUGGGGUAGUGGCUUACCAAGGCUUUGACGGGUAGCCGGCCUGAGAGGGUGACCGGCCACAUUGGGACUGAGAUACGGCCCAGACUCCUACGGGAGGCAGCGGUGGGGAAUAUUGCACAAUGGGCGGAAGCCUGAUGCAGCAAUGCCGCGUGCGGGAUGACGGCCUUCGGGUUGUAAACCGCUUUCGCCUGUGACGAAGCGUGAGUGACGGUAAUGGGUAAAGAAGCACCGGCUAACUACGUG